rnacentral:rRNA from 1 species
AAUAGCCUAACGGCUGAACCAGCAACUUGGAAGAAUGAAUAACGAAUAAGUCGUAUAAAAUUCUAGAUAGAAAACUGAUAAUGACUACUAUCUAUCUAUUAGUCUUGACCAAAUUACGUGCCAGCAGUCGCGGCAAUACGCAGAAGACAAGUGUUAUUCAUCUUUAAUCGGUAUAAAGGGUACCUAGACGGGAAAUCAAGCCAUAGUAGGUACUAAUUUUCUAGAGUUUUAUGGGAGAAAGUGGAAUAUCUGGAGUAGAGAUUAAAUAUUAUGAUACCAGAGAGACGGGUAACGGCGUAGGCAACUUUCUAUGUAAAAACUGACGUUGAGGGACGAAGCCCUGGGUAACGAGAAGGAUUAGAUACCCCAGUAGUCCAGGGAGACAAUGAUGAGUGCCAUAGGCUAGACAUAUUAGUCUAUAAAUGAAAGUGCAAGCAUUCCACCUUAAGACUAAAGCGGAAACGCCCAAAUUGAAAUCAUUAGACCGUUCCUGAAACCAGUAGUGAAGUAUGUUAUUUAAUUCGAUGAUCCGCGAAUAACCUUACCACGUUUUGAGUACUUUUAGGUAAAAGCAUUUACAUAGUGUUUUUACUAUCAAAAUUUUUACAAGCGCUGCACGGCUGUCUUUAGUUAAUGUCGUGAGACUUUGGUUAACUCCUUUAAUUAACGAAAACCCUUGUUUUAUUUGUAUAUAUAUAUAAAACAGUUCUCCGCUAUAUUGGAUAAGAUAACUGGGAUUAAGACAAGUCAUCAUGGCCUUAAUAACGU